rnacentral:rRNA from 1 species
UGGGGAAUAUUGGACAAUGGGCGAAAGCCUGAUCCAGCCAUGCCGCGUGUGUGAAGAAGGCCUUUUGGUUGUAAAGCACUUUAAGCGAGGAGGAGGCUACUUAGAUUAAUACUCUAGGAUAGUGGACGUUACUCGCAGAAUAAGCACCGGCUAACUCUGUGCCAGCAGCCGCGGUAAUACAGAGGGUUCGAGCGUUAAUCGGAUUUACUGGGCGUAAAGCGUGCGUAGGCGGCUUUUUAAGUCGGAUGUGAAAUCCCUGAGCUUAACUUAGGAAUUGCAUUCGAUACUGGGAAGCUAGAGUAUGGGAGAGGAUGGUAGAAUUCCAGGUGUAGCGGUGAAAUGCGUAGAGAUCUGGAGGAAUACCGAUGGCGAAGGCAGCCAUCUGGCCUAAUACUGACGCUGAGGUACGAAAGCAUGGGGAGCAAACAGG